UACGGGGGGGGCAAGCGUUGUUCGGAAUUACUGGGCGUAAAGGGCCAGUAGGCGGCCAACUAAGUCCGACGUGAAAUCCCCAGGCUUAACCUGGGAACUGCGUCGGAUACUGGAUGGCUUGAAUUCGGGAGAGGGAUGCAGAAUUCCAGGUGUAGCGGUGAAAUGCGUAGAUAUCUGGAGGAACACCGGUGGCGAAGGCGGCAUCCUGGACCAACACUGACACUGAGGAGCGAAAGCCAGGGGAGCAAACGGG
rnacentral:rRNA from 1 species